rnacentral:rRNA from 1 species
UACAGAGGGUGCAAGCGUUGCUCGGAAUCACUGGGCGUAAAGCGCACGUAGGCGGAUCUUUAAGUCAGGGGUGAAAUCCCAAGGCUCAACCUUGGAACUGCCUUUGAUACUGGGGAUCUCGAGUCCGGAAGAGGUUGGUGGAACUGCGAGUGUAGAGGUGAAAUUCGUAGAUAUUCGCAAGAACACCAGUGGCGAAGGCGGCCAACUGGUCCGGUACUGACGCUGAGGUGCGAAAGCGUGGGGAGCAAACAGG